CUCCCAAAGCUAGUAUUCUACUUAAAACUAUUCUCUGC
rnacentral:tRNA from 1 species